AAAAUUUCAGGGAAGUAACACCGCCAAAAGCAGAGAGAGGAUAACAAACAGUCAUGAAGUAAUGAUACCUUAGAUUUCCAAACAGGAAUUACAUUAUGAACUAAUAUUAGGAAAAGAAAAAAAAAACGAUGGCACCUUGAACAAAUAACAGAUGUCCUGUUGCAGUCGAAUAAGAACAGAUACAGGUUCAAGUUAAAGUCUCUUUCAGGAGUAGCAAUUGAUUUAAGGAUAUCAACUCUAGCAUUUCUUUCCAUGCAAAAAAUUCUAUCUUUCCAACAUCUUUGCUUUGCGGGCUACUAAUGCAUUUAAGAAUGAGCAGUCUUUUGAGGAGUGUGCUUUCUUCCAUGCAUCUGAAAUCUUUAAAACAGCUGGAUCAUUGAUUCCCUGGACUUCCCUACUCCAAUCCAUUUAACAGGAACACCUAAUUCCAUUUCUAUAAAACGAACAUAGUUCUGUGCAUUUACAGGCAACUCAUCGAAUGUCCUUGCAUUUGAUAUGUCUGUAUCCCAUCCUGGGAGUGUCUCAUACUUUACCUCUACUUUACUUAAGACUUCGUGGUUGGCUGGAAAAUGAGGUAUGACUUCACCAUCCAGUUUAUAUGCAACACCAACUUUGAUUUCUGGAAAUACAUCCAAGAUAUCCAACUUGGUAAGAGCCAAUGCAGUAAACCCAUUAAUCAUGUAGGCAUAUCGGAGUUGCACGAGGUCCAGCCAGCCGCAUCUUCUCUUCCUACCAGUGGUAACACCAAACUCUUUACCCCGCAUUUGCAGCAAUUCUCCAAUUUCAUUAUCUUGUUCUGUAGGAAAGGCACCAAUUCCAACUCUAGUUGUAUAUGCUUUCACAACUCCAUACACUUCUCCA
rnacentral:lncRNA from 1 species